GUCUAUGGCCAUGCCACCCUGAACACGCCUGAUCUUGUCUGAUUCGGAAGCUUCUGAUCUCAGAAGCUAAACAGGAUUGGGCCUGGUUAGUACUUGGAUGGGAGACCACCUAGGAAGACUGGGUGCUGUAGGUG
ensembl:rRNA 5S_rRNA 5S ribosomal RNA